AAAACGACUCUCGGCAACGGAUAUCUCGGCUCUUGCAUCGAUGAAGAACGUAGCGAAAUGCGAUACUUGGUGUGAAUUGCAGAAUCCCGUGAACCAUCGAGUCUUUGAACGCAAGUUGCGCCCGAAGCCAUUUGGUUGAGGGCACGCCUGCCUGGGUGUCGUGA
rnacentral:rRNA from 1 species